UGAGUAACGCGUGGGAACAUGCCCCAAAGUGAGGAAUAAACUGCCGAAAGGGUAGCUAAUGCCGCAUACGAUCUUCGGAUUAAAGGAUUUAUCCGCUUUGGGAGUGGCCUGCGUACGAUUAGAUAGUUGGUGAGGUAAUGGCUCACCAAGUCUACGAUCGUUAACUGGUUUGAGAGGAUGAUCAGUCAGACUGGAACUGAGACACGGUCCAGACUCCUACGGGAGGCAGCAGUGAGGAAUCUUCCACAAUGGACGAAAGUCUGAUGGAGCAACUCCGCGUGCAGGAUGAAGGCCUUCGGGUCGUAAACUGCUUUUAUGAGUGAAGAAUAUGACGGUAACUCAUGAAUAAGGGUCGGCUAACUACGUG
rnacentral:rRNA from 1 species